UCCUCAGUAGCUCAGUGGUAGAGCAAUCGGCUGUUAACCGAUUGGUCGAAGGUUCAAUCCCUUCCUGGGGAG
rnacentral:tRNA from 1 species